AGGGUGAACCUGGGGAAGGAUCCUUA
rnacentral:rRNA from 1 species